rnacentral:misc_RNA from 1 species
GUGAAUCAUCAAAUUUUUGAACGCAAAUUGCGCUUCCUGGUAUCCCGGGAAGUAUGCCUGUUUGAGGGUCAGUAUUAACAAAAAAUCGGUUUGGUUGCAAAUUGUGACGUUUCCGGAGUUUGGGCUUAUCUUAACUUUUUUGGUUAAGGGGCUUAAAAUUGACCUUUUUUGCGCAUUUUUAGACGUACAUAAAUUCUUUUUUUUAUUCGUCUGUCUUAAUGCUCAAAAUCCUAUUAGAUGCGACUAUAUCGUAUGCCUUCUUCUGUUUGAAUUAUUCAUGAUUUGACCUCAAAUCAGGUAG